CACCGGCGAACGGCUUAGUAACACGUAGAUACAUACCUUAAAGUGGGGCAUAGCUCGUCGAAAGACGGGGUAAUUUCCCAUAGUCUCGCAAGAGUAAAGGCGCAAGCCGCUUUAAGAAUGGUCUGCGGCCUAUCAGAUAGUUGGCGAGGUAAAAGCUCACCAAGUCUAUGACGGGUAGGGGGCGUGAGAGCGCGACCCCCAAGAAUGGCACUGCGACACGGGCCAU
rnacentral:rRNA from 1 species